CGGAGAUAAAAACACAUCCCGGUAGGUAGUCCGGGAGCAGCUAUUGGGGUAUAUAAUCCAAAAGCUGUCAGUAACCUUCCUUCCAGGUCGUCCAUUCUCAC
rnacentral:ncRNA from 1 species